rnacentral:rRNA from 1 species
UGGGGAAUAUUGGACAAUGGGCGCAAGCCUGAUCCAGCCAUGCCGCGUGAGUGAUGAAGGCCUUAGGGUUGUAAAGCUCUUUCGCCGACGAAGAUAAUGACGGUAGUCGGAGAAGAAGCCCCGGCUAACUUCGUGCCAGCAGCCGCGGUAAUACGAAGGGGGCUAGCGUUGUUCGGAAUCACUGGGCGUAAAGCGCACGUAGGCGGAUUGUUAAAGUCAGGGGUGAAAGCCUGGAGCUCAACUCCAGAACUGCCCUUGAUACUGGCAAUCUCGAGUCCGGAAGAGGUAAGUGGAGCUGCGAGUGUAGAGGUGAAAUUCGUAGAUAUUCGCAAGAACACCAGUGGCGAAGGCGGCUUACUGGUCCGGUACUGACGCUGAGGUGCGAAAGCGUGGGGGAGCAAAACAGGAUUAGAUACCCUGGUAGUCCACGCCGGGGGUAAAACGAUGGAGGCUAGCCGUUGGCGAGCAUGCUCGUCAGUGGCGCAGCUAACGCAUUAAGCCUCCCGCCUGGGGAGUACGGUCGCAAGAUUAAAAACUUAAAGGAAAUUGACGGGGGU